GCCAAAAUACCCGACCCAUCCCCAUACUCUUCUUCUUGGCGUGAAGAAAAACAGCGACCCCACCCCCAUACUUGCCUUCGUCUUUUUCACGCUAAAUCAACCCGGAAAUUGUGUCUCCUACCUUGCAAGAACCCAUACCCUGCAGACCCAUCACCCUCACGUCUCCUUUCCCCCAUUUUAGGGAAUUUUUUCAAAGCUUUCUACGGUUGUCUUGAAAAGGGGCAGAAUGAAUUCGAAUUUUAAAAUUCAAAAUUUCACGCGAUUUCCCCCUAAUUUCCAUCUAUAUAUUCAUCUAUUUUAAUCACUGUUGGGGGAGAGUUUUUUGAGUUUGAGUUUUCGGCAAAUAGGUUUUACACUUUAGAAUUUCACAUUUUAGUCCUUUGAUUCUAAAUUCCGAAAAGGUAGUUGCUCUAAUUCUGCCCAGAAUUCUUGUUUGCUGUUCGUAUUAAGAUUUCAUGGUAGAAGAAUCCCUGCUCUCAGCUCGUUGUCAAGUUCGCUGCCCAAGAAGAGGUCCCGAAAAGUUAAAAAUGGGCUGUAUACAGCGGUAUACGCUGAUAUGCAGGCCCAAAACGCAAAAACAGAGGGCUGAGGCGAAACACAGGUGUUCGGAAGCAAGAGAUACAUGAAAAGAGCUGAUAUAUAUGCUCAUAUACAUUAAUAUACACUAGGUGUAUACAAAAACGGGUUUAGAAUUAAACCCCCAAAAAUUCCAACGAAAUUGGCCCAAAAGGAGGCCAAAAUUCAAUUUAUCCCUUACUCUUUAAUUAUUUAUUGUUUGUUGUUUAACUCUAACUUUAUAAUUUUUAAUUAACUUAAUUAGAUUCCCCAAAAGACGAGUUACUUU